GAGUUGUAGAUAGGUGUGAGCUGUCAUGUGGGUGGGUGCUGGGUCCCGGUGCUCUUAGCUGCUGAGCUAUCUCUCCAGACUCCAUCCUGACUUUCUUUUUUCUCUAGGGAUAUAGAAUUCACUCGCUCCCGGCACUUUCACUUCCUCCAUUUGGGACUAGGUUAGAGAGCAUCUCUGGGUGCUGCCAUAGUUAGUGGGAGCCAUGGCCUCCAGCAGGGAUGAGCCCUGGCACUCAUCAGCAUGAGUAAAGCAAACGCUUGCAGACUGACACCUGGAUGGAUAAAGGAACCAGUUCCUGUCACAAGAGUGGAAGCUAAGCAAGCCUUCAGCCUGUUUCCAGAGCCUAUGAAAGACGGAGGCACAGGGACUGAAGGAUCGGAGUUAAGGUUUCACCUUCGAGGGUUCUCCAGCCCUACCCACCAGCUGCGAUUGAGAUGGGCGCAGCUCAAGGCUCCAGUUUGAGACACUCCACUGCCUGGGCUCAGGAGCUCAAGAUCGAGAGGAUUUUGUUGAGCGCCCGCCUGAGUGUACCUCCACUUCCCUGCACAAAGGCAGCAAGAGCUACUGGUCUGAGGGUCAGCGGGGGCGCGCCUGCCACCACCACCACCAACUGAGGCUCUCUCCUAAAAUGACACUCACACCCGUUCUCCACCAAGUUUCUCUGGGCCUUGUCCUACCUCACAACCUUUUGAACUUGAACCUUCAGAGACUUCUGGAAACUCUGUUAAGGUCACACAGCUAGUGGGAAGGCAAGCUGGCUCAAAGCCAGUGUGUUAAGCAUUUUCCCCUAGACAUACACAGGGCAGGGAACACACCCAUAGGCUUGGGCUCUGUGACUCUGCCAUCAGCUGUCAGGUUGAGGGCCUCAAACAUCUGGCUCAGCAGAUACGAAGGAUCAAGUGGGGCUGCAGCUGUUCUGAAGGGAGGGGCUGUCCCUCCUGUUAGGGUGUGACCCUUUUCAGUAUAGGCAGGGAGAGAAUUUUCUCAACAAGGAAGGGGUCCUUAUGGGC